UCACAGAUGCUGCUCGGGGCCAGCCCUAUAAUCCCUCCAGUGCCUGGUCUCCCGUGGACCCGCGGGGCUCUGCAGUUCUCUGGCGGCCGCGCCUUGUAAGCGCUAAGCCGGGAGGAGGGCGCAGGCAGGGCGCACAGCUCUGAGCGCGACCCUACCCGGCUCGGGCCCGCAGCAGCCCCGAUUGUCCGAGAGCCUCUCCGAAAGCAAGGCUCUGCGCCGCCCUCUGAGCCCACCUCCUGGCCACAACGCUGCCUGCGCUUCUCCAGCCCAGGCCGGAAGCCCUAUGCUGCCUCCAGAAGCCGGACUUUCUGGAAGCCCAUCUUCGUAUGCUCACCAGCCCACCCUCCUACGCUGGUCAGAGUGAGAUUGCUAAUCUCAAGACCCCAUUCAAUGCCAGCUUUCAACUACUGCUGAAGACCAAUGUAGGUCCUGGAAUAGAAGAACUGCAGAGUAUCCGGAGCUGGCCGACCCCAGACUGAUUCUCAACAGGUGGCUGGGUAGUGCCCCCCACCCUGUGUUGGUCGUGCGGGACCCAUCGCACACAGAGAAGCCACCUUACCCCUCACCUCACCCCGUCGGCCAAAGACUGACCACCCGCGCCCGAGUGUGGGGAGGGGUGGGAAUUCCGGAUCACACACACACACACACACACACACACACACACACACACACACACACACACCAGGGUAGGGGAACAGGGAAGAUCUUACCUGCAGAAAGGUAAGAGAAGCCGGGAGCGUGU
rnacentral:lncRNA from 1 species